rnacentral:rRNA from 1 species
UGGGGAAUAUUGCACAAUGGGCGCAAGCCUGAUGCAGCCAUGCCGCGUGUAUGAAGAAGGCCUUCGGGUUGUAAAGUACUUUCAGUCGGGAGGAAGGUGUCAAGGUUAAUAACCUUGGCAAUUGACGUUACCGACAGAAGAAGCACCGGCUAACUCCGUGCCAGCAGCCGCGGUAAUACGGAGGGUGCAAGCGUUAAUCGGAAUUACUGGGCGUAAAGCGCACGCAGGCGGUUGAUUGAGUCAGAUGUGAAAUCCCCGGGCUUAACCCGGGGAUUGCAUCUGAUACUGGUCAGCUAGAGUCUUGUAGAGGGGGGUAGAAUUCCAUGUGUAGCGGUGAAAUGCGUAGAGAUGUGGGGGAAUACCGGUGGCGAAGGCGGCCCCCUGGACAAAGACUGACGCUCAGGUGCGAAAGCGUGGGGAGCAAACAGG